UACAGGGGUGCAAACGUUGCUCGGAAUCAUUGGGCGUAAAGCGCACGUAGGCGGUUCGUUAUGUCGGAUGUGAAAGCCCUUGGCUUAACCGAGGAAGUGCAUCCGAAACUGGCGAGCUAGAGUACUAAAGAGGAUCGCGGAAUUCCCGGUGUAGAGGUGAAAUUCGUAGAUAUCGGGAGGAACACCGGUGGCGAAGGCGGCGAUCUGGGUAGAUACUGACGCUGAGGUGCGAAAGCGUGGGGAGCAACA
rnacentral:rRNA from 1 species